UCAAAAAAAAACUUUCUUCUCUUCCUGACCCUCUUCCACUCCCCAUCACAUCCACCAUUUCUUCUUGUUCUUUGGAUUCCUCACCUACAUUUUCACAAGCACUUCCUCUAACUCAAUAAAUAUGUCCGUUCACAUCCACCUUUUCUUCUGUUUUCGCAGCAAUGGUUGCAGAGCCUUGGAUUUUGAAGAUGGGUAACCAGCUCAAUUUGCAAAUGGUGGUUCUUCUGUUAGAAGGCAAGGAUUGCAAUUUCACUAGUAUCUGCUAUUGUGUUCCUCCUAGUAACCAUUUUAUGUUGGUUGGCAAAGAGGAAGUGAAAAGGUAAACAGAUUUGCUAUAACAGUAUCGAUCUAUUCAUUUAGCAUCAUCUUUUAACAAAUAUUCGUUGAGAGUUACCACGGGGUAAUUUGAAGAAUCUACUGGUAGUGAUCAUGAUGAAUGUAAAACAAACGAAGAUUUCCUUCGAUUGAUCCAACAACCAUUGCAGCGGCCACGGAAAGUUUUUCUGUUGCAAACAAGCUUGGAAGAGGAGGUUUUGGCUCAGUCUAUAAGGGUGUGUUUUAUAAUGGAAACAAAGUAGCAGUGAAAAGACUUCGAAGCAUUCUGGUCAAGGAAUCAAAGAGUUUAGCAAUGAAGUCCUGCUGAUUGCGAAACUCCAACACAGGUACCUUGUCAAGAUUUUGGGUUGCUGCAUUCAAGACGAAGAAAAGAUGCUAAUCUAUGAAUACGUUCCAAACAAAAGUUUGGACUCUUUCAUUUUUGAUGAAGCAAAAAUAAUGCUUUUAGAUUGGGCAAACCGCUUUGAUAUUAUGUACGGGGUUGCAAGAGGGAUCCUAUAUCUUCAUCAAGGAUUCAAGAUUGAGAAUCAUCCAUAGAGACUAAGGGCAAGCAAUGUUCUAUUGGAUGCCGCUAUGAAUCCCAAAAUUGCGGAUUUUGGUAUGGCUAGGAUAUUCAGAGGAGACGAAAUGAAGCAAAUACAUAUCGUGUCAUUGGAACAAAAUUAUAUGUCGCCUGAGUAUUCAAUGGAAAGACUUUUCAGUAAAAUCCGAUGUGUAUAGCUUUGACGUGCUACUACUUGAAAUCAUUGCUGACAGUAAAAAUUCUGGUUAUUACAAUGAGAGAUA